AGAUGGCGGCAGCCCAGCGCGUGAACUGCAUCCUGGAGGUUUCCUGUGGCCAGGCGGAAAGCAGCGAGAAGCCCAAUGCUGAGGACAUGACGUCCAAAGAUUACUACUUCGACUCUUACACCCACUUUGGCAUCCAUUAGGAGAUGCUGAAGGAUGAGGUGUGCACCCUCACCUACCGUAACUCCAUGUUUCACAACCGGCACCUCUUCAAGGACAAGGUGGUGCUGGACGUAGGCUCGGGCACAGGGAUCCUCUGCAUGUUUGCUGCCAAGGCUGGGGCCCAUAAGGUUAUCAGGAUCGAGUGUUCCAGAAUCUCUGAUUAUGCGGUGAAGAUCGUCAAAGCCAACAAGUUAGACCAUGUGGUGACCAUCAUCAAGGGGAAGGUGGAGGAAGUGGAGCUGCCGGUGGAAAAGGUGGACAUCAUCAUCAUUGAGUGAAUGGGCUACUGCCUUUUCUACGAGUCCAUGCUCAGCACCGUGCUAUAUGCCCGAGACAAGUGGCUGGCGCCUGAUGGCCUCAUCUUCCCAGACCGAGCCACACUGUAUGUAACAGCUAUUGAGGACCAACAGUACAAAGACUACAAGAUCCACUGGUGGGAGAACGUGUACGGCUUUGAUAUGUCCUGCAUCAAAGAUGUGGCCAUCAAGCCCCUAGUGGACGUGGUGGACCCCAAGCAGCUGGUCACUAAUGCCUGCCUCAUAAAGGAGGUGGACAUCUACACUGUCAAGGUGGAAGGCCUGACCUUCACUUCUCUCGUCUGUCUGCAAGUGAAGCGGAAUGACUACGUGCACGCCCUGGUGGCUUACUUCAACAUCGAGUUCACCCGCUGCCACAAGAGGACCGGCUUCUCUACCAGCCCCGAGCCCCCAUACACACACUGGAAGGAGACAUUGUUCUACAUGGAGGACUACCUGACAGUGAAGACUGGCGAGGAGAUCUUUGGCACCAUAGGCAUGCGGCCCAAUGCCAAGAACAAUCGGGACCUGGACUUUACCAUUGACCUGGACUUCAAGGGCCAGCUGUGUGAGCUGUCCUGCUCCAUUGACUACCGGAUGCGCUGAGGCGGCCCUGCUCUCCAGGCGGCCCUGCAGGGCCCAGGGGCUGUGGUGUUCGGUUUCUGGGCUUACUCUUCCUCUCCCUCCCUCCCACAGAAGGAGGUUUGGGGG